GGCAACAGGGAAUAUGAGAAGCAGCAGGCUCCCAGGAACUGGUGGAGGCCUUGACGAUGGUCGAUUUCUACCCGGGAGGUCUGAGCUCAUAGUCACUGUCAGAGAGGCCUGGAGUGGAACUCCCCCCACACCUCCAGGGUACAGCUGAUGAAUACCUGGAUGACUCGGUCCCUUCCCUGUCCCUCCAGACCUGGUUCGAAGGCUCUUUGUUGUUUGAAGGCCCUGGAAGUUGAAGCUGAAGCAAGGUGAACACUGAAGGUGUGAGGACAGUGGCUCAGGAGGCGUCACUGAGUGGAGGCCUCAGGGAGGACUCUGGAAGUCUGGUUUCAGCAUUCACUGGUCCCUCAGCAACUUUGGAGGAAAGUAAGGUAUGUCUAGUUUGUCAAGUUGACAAAAAGCCAACAGCACAACCUCUCCAUGAAGCAUUCCCCCAAAUAUCC